AAAUCUUUACAAGAACUCAAUUUCAGGAGGCUUUCACCUUCCGGAAGGCGUUUCUUCUUUGAAAAUCAGUGACAACUUACUAUCAAUUGCUGAUGCGAAGGUCAUUCUUAAUGGAUUGACGCGGCUUAAGAAACUAGACCUUGAUAGAAAUCCACUUGGACCUUCCUUGCCAUCAGACAUCUUCGCAGGGUUUGAAAAUAUGAUAUAUCUGUGAGUUCAGU